GGACUGUUGAGAAGUCCCAUAAUAGGACGAAACGGCCUUCCAGUGC
rnacentral:hammerhead_ribozyme from 1 species